GCUCCUUUAGCAAUCUGGUGAAUGCAGCGAACUCAUAAUUCGCCUAAGGUGUGUUCGAUCCACACAAGGAGCACC
rnacentral:tRNA from 4 species